GCUAGCAGGCAAACACUCUCUCUUUGGCACUUGACAGAGAAAGUGCUCCUGCCUGCUGCAGUUACUGGAGAUGUGGUGCUGUCUGCCUAGCUCUCCCUGCUACUGCCUGCUCUGCUAUCUAGGUGCUACAUGCCUACAGGGAGUCUCCCAGAAUGCUUCAUGCUGAUUUCCCUGAGGCUGUGUGGAUCCAUCCAGGCAAAGAAGGAAUUCUUCACUCUCCCUCCUCCCCUGCACCAACAAAAGGCCAUUGCCGGGCAUGCUUUUCUGAUGUCACUCAUUGCAUGCCCAGCAGACUGGAGCUGGCAGGAGCUAACAAAGUGUGUCAUCCAUGGUUCCAAUGAGUCCUGUGCCUCCGCCGCUCAUCCCCAACACGCUACCUCACUGCAUCUGAUCCUGCUUUGUCUUCCUGCCUACUGCUGUGCUGCUGAGUGCCUGGCUAGAGGCCUGUGGAGCUUCUGGACAGAUCUUCAACAAACAAAGCCCCUCCACCACUCCAGCCAUCUUUUACAUUUGUCUCAGCAGCCUUCCCUGUGCAUUCUGGCCCUUGUGUUGUAAGUCCUGUGGUCCAAUCCCCCUGCCCUGGUGUUUGUUGUGUGGCUGAGUAAGCCAGCUCAAAUUUCCCCAGCUCUUGUGUGUGUGUUCCCCCUCCCCCACAUUCUCAAAGCAGAGGCCUCCCAGUUGUUUUCCCAUGGAGCUGUAGCUUACUGAGCUUCAGACCCCUUCCUCCCUACCCCCCUUCUCCCCGACAACCCCAACUUGCCCCUAUUAGAUUCACCAGCUCCACUGGAUAUUAUGUUUUUUCUUUAUUGUCUUCCCUGCCCUCAUGUGAAACAAUGCCAGGGCAGAAAACUUCUGGGGGGGCAGAUGCCCCCACUAUGGGGGUAGAUCCCAGCAAAGCCCCCAAGGGGAUACAUGCCCCUGCAACUUCCACCCCGGAGGCAGAGUCUGACCAAACUCCUCCAUAGUUUCAUAGCUGGUAGGGUCAGAAGGGACCUGAGCAGAUCAAUGCCAUGAGCAGAAAAGAAUUCUGGGGUCAAAUGAUCCCGGCUAGGUGUCUAUCUAGCCUCCUUUUCUAGACCCCGAGGGUAGGAGUGAGCACCACUUCCCUUGGAAGUUGGUUCCAGAUCCUAGCCACCCUGACUGUGAAGUGUUGACUCUUGAUAUCUAGCCUGAAUCUACUCUCUGUCAGUUUAUGGCCGUUAUUCCUCAUUAUUCCCGGUAGUGCUCAGGGGAACAGGGACUCUCCCAUUGCCUGCUGGUCCCCCUUGGUCAAUUUUUAGACGGCUACCAGGUCCUUUCUCAGCCUUCUCUUGUGGAAGCUGAACAUCUUCAGGUCCCAUAGCCUCCCCUCAUAUCCUUGCUGUCCCCUGAUCAUGCGAGUGGCCCUCCUCUGGACCCUCUUGAUGCUGUCCACAUCCCUCCUGAAGUGUGGUGCCCAGAACUGGACACAGUACUCCAACUGCAGCCUGACCAAUGUUGCAUAGAGGGGGAGGAUCACCUCCUUGAACCUGCUCAUGAUGCAUCUGUGGAUGCAUGACAAGGUAUGGUUAGCCUUCCUGACUGCAUCCCCACAUAGAAUCAUCGAAGUAGGGUUGGAAGGGACCUUAUAGAUUUUCAAGUCCGACCCCCUGCCUGGGUAGGAGGAAAACUGGGUUCAAAUGACCCCAGCCAGGUAGGCAUCAAGUCGCUUCUUAAAGACCCCCACGGUAGGAGCCAGCACCACUUCCCUUGGAAGUUGGUUCCAGAUCCUAGCCACCGACUGUGAAGUAGUUCUUACGGGUGUCUAAUCUAAACCUACUCUCCAACAACUUGUGGCCAUUAUUCCUUGUUAUCCCAGGGGGCGGUAGGGGAAACAAGGUCUCCCCCAAACCCUUCUGGUCCCCCCUAGUGAGUUUAUAGACAGUCACCAGGUCCCCCCUCAGCCUUGUCUUGUGAAGGCUGAACAGUUUCAGGUCCCAUAGCCUCUCAUUGUGGGGUCUGCCCUGCUGUCCCUGGAUCAUGCUGGUGGCCCUCCUCUGGACCCUCUCAAUGUUGUCCACAUCCCUCUUGAAGUGGGGUGCCCAGAGCUGGACACAGUACUCCAGCUGUGGCCUGACCAGUGUCGCAUAGAGGGGAAGGAUCACCUCCUUGGCCCUACUUGAGAUGCACCUGUGGAUGCACAUUGUCGGCUCAUGUUCAUCUUGGAAUCAAUAGUGACUCCAAGAUCUUUUUCUGCCUCUGCACUAACAAGGAGGGAGUUCCCCAGCCUGUAGGUAUGCUGCUGAUUCUUCCUCCCCAGGUGCAACACCUUGCACUUGUCAGUAUUGAAACCCAUCCUGUUCUCAGCCUGUUCCUCUCCUCUAUUGUGCCAACUUCUCCCCACAUCUUAGUGUCAUCUGUGAAUUUGAACAAGGUGCUUUUCACCCCCUUGUCCAAGUCACUGAUGAAGAGGUUGAACAGUGCGGGCCCAAGGACUGAGCCCUAGGGAACGCCACUGCCCACAUCCCUCCAGGUCAAAAAUGACCCAUCCACCACCACUCUUUUGGUGUGGCCCUUCAGCCAAUUAGUAACCUACCUGACCAUGUAGGCAUCGACACCACAGUUGCCUAAUUUUUUAAUGAGAAUGGGGUGAGAAACAGUGUCGAAGGCCUUCCUAAAGUCCAGAAAGACUAUGUCCACUGUGACACCUGCGUCUAAGGCUCUUGUGACCUAGGCAUAGAAGGCCACCAGGUUUGUCUGACAGGACCUGCCUCUAAUGAACCCAUGCUGGUUGACCCUAAGCAUAAUCUUCCCUGCUGGUCCCUCACAGAUAUGCACCUAGCUAAUUUUCUCAAGGAGCUUCCCCAGGAUUGAGGUAAGACUAAUGGUUCUAUAAUUUCCUGGGUCCUCCUUCCUCCCUUUUGUGAAAAUGGGGACCACAUUGGCACUUUUCCAGUCCCCUGGCACCUCGCCAGAGCACCAUGAGUGCUCAUAAAGCCGUGUCAGGGGUCCCUCAAUGACUUCUGCUAAUUCCUUCAGUACUCUGGGGUGGAGAUCGUCAGGACCUGCUGAUUUGAACAUGUCUAGUUCCACCAGAAGUUCCCUGACUAGGUCAUUACUGACCCUGGGCCUGGCUGUGCCUCCCCUGGGACCGUUGGGGAUCCCAGUUGGGGGGAUGACCUGGUCUCUGCUCAGAAAAAUGGAGGCAAAGAAAUUGUUAGAGAUUAGCUUUGUCAUCUGGUGCAACCACCAGAUUUCCUAGUAUGUUCUGCAGGGGCUCCACGUUUCAUAGUUUCAUAGUUGGAAGGGACCUGAGCAGAUCAUCAAGUCCGACCCACUGCCAUGGCAGGAAACAGUACUGCAGUCAAACAACCCCGGCAAGGUGUUCAUCCAGCCUCCUUUUAAAGACCCCCAGGUUAGGAGCCAACACCACUUCUCUUGGAAGUUGUUUCCAGAUCAUAGCCGUCCUGACAAUGAAGUAGUGCCACCUGAUAUCUAGCCUGAAUCCACAAGCCUCUGCCAGCUUGUGACUAUUAUUUCUUGUCAUUCCUGGUAGUGCUUGGGGGAACAGGAACUCUCCCAAUGCCUGCUGGGCCCCCCGACUAGUUUUUAAAUGGCCACUAGAUCCCCCCUCAGACUUCUCUUGUGGAGGCUGAACAGGUUCGGGUCCUGUAGCCUCUGCUCAUACGGCCUACCCUGCUGACCCCUGAUCAUGCAGGUGGCCCUCCUCUGGACCCUCUCCAUGUUGACCCUCCUCUGGACCCUCUCCACAUCCCUCCUGAAGUGCGGUGCCCAGAACUGAAUGCAUUACUCCAACUGUGGCCUGACAAGUGUUGUAUAGAGCAGGAGGAUCACCUCCUUGGACCUGCUCGUGAUGCAUCUGUGGAUGCAUGGCAAGGUAUGGCUGGUCUUCCUGAUUGGUCCCCACACUGUCAGCCCAUGUUCAUUUUGGCAUCAAUAAUGACUCCAAGAUCCAUUUCUGCCUCUGCACUGACAAGAAGGGAGUUCCCCAGCCUGUAAGUAUGCUGCUGGUUUUUCCUCCCCAGGUGCAGUACCUUGCAUUUUUCAGUGUUGAAACCCAUCCUGUUCUCAUCUGCCCACCCCUGUAACCUGUCCAGGUCCGAUUGCAGCCUAUUCCUCCCUUCUAGCGUGCCCACUUCUCCCCACAUCUUAGUGUCAUCUGCGAAUUUGAACAGGGUGGUUUUUACCCCCUCAUCCAAGUCGCUGAUGAAGAUGUUGAACAGUGCGGACCCAAGGACUGAGCCCUGGGGAACCCCACUACCCACAUCCCUCCAGGUUGAAAAAGACCCAUUCACCACCACUCUCUGGGUGUGGCCUUCCAGCCAAUUAGUGACCCAUCUGACUGGGUAGGUAUUGAUGCCACAUUCUCCUAGUUUUUUAAUGAGAAUGGGGUGAGAGACAGUGUUGAAGGCCUUCCAAAAGUCCAGAAAGACUAUGACCACUGCAACACCUGUGUCCAAGGAUUUUGUGACCCAGUCAUAGAAGGCCACCAGGUUGGUCUGACAGGAUCUGCCUCUAAUGAACCCAUGUUCCUUGUCCCUGAGCAUAAUCUCCCCUGCUGGUCCCUCGCGGACAUGCACCAGGAUAAUUCUCUCAAAAAGCUUACCCAGGAUCAAGGUAAGACUAACUGGCCUAUCGUUUCCUGGGUCCUCCUUCCUCCAUUUUUUGAAAAUGGGAACCACACUGGCCCUUUUCCAGUCCUCUGGUACCUCACCAGAGCACCAUAAGUGCUCGUAAAGCCGUGCCAGGGGUCCCACAAUGACCUCUGCUAAAUCCCUCAGCACUCUGGUGUGGAGAUCAUCAGGACCUGGUGAUUUAAAUACAUCUAAUCCCUCCAAAAGUUCCCUGACUAUGUCUUCUUUGACCCUAGGCCUGGAUGUACCUCCCCUGGGGCCUACAGGGAUCCCAGUUGUGGGGAUGACCUGGUCCCUGCUCAGAAAAAUGAAGGCAAAGAAAUUCUUAAAUAGGUUAGCUUUGCUGUCUGGUGUGAUGACCAGAUUUCCUACAUUACUUGGUACCUUCUUUUUACUCCCUAUAUAUUUAAAAAAGGACUACCUGUUAUUGUUGAUCUUGGUUGCUAGUCCCAGUUCCAUCUCCACCUUAGCUUUCCUAACAGCCCCCCUACAAUCUCAAGCCAAGGAGGUAUAAUCCUCCCUGGUGAUAGUCCCUCCCUUCCUUUGGGUGUAUGCCUCAUUUUUAGCUAGGAGACAUUCCUGGAUGCUUUUGGUGAGCCAUGGGGGUUUUUGAGUACUCUUGCCCCCUUUGAUCUGCAUUGGGAUUGUCACCCUUUGGGCUUGGAGGAUCAUCUCCUUAAAGAAUGACCACUCUUCUUGGACUCCCAACUCCCCUCCCUUCCAGGACCCCAGAGCCUCCCCAACUAGCCUUCUUACCUCAUUAAAAUCUGUCCUCCUGAAGUCCAGGGCUGCUGCCUUGCUGCAGGCUUUUGACACCUUGCAUUGGAUGGUGAAUUCCAGUAGGCGAUGAUCGCUAUCACCCACGUGGUUGAGCACCCGCAGUCCCCUCACCAGGUUGUUGCCUGUGGCCAGGACUGGGUCCAACAAGGCAUUUCCCCUGGUGGGACUGUGCACCUCCUGGGUUAGAAUGAGGUCCUGUAACUUGGCUGGGAACCUACGUGAGCGGUCAGACCUGGCUGACUACUCUUCCCAGCAGAUUUCUGGAUACUUUAGGUCACCCAUGAUCACCACAUCCUUUGACUUAACUGCCUCCACAAGCUGACCUGAGACUUCCCAGUCUAGCUCUUCUCUCUGGUUGGAUGGCCUGUAGUAGACACCCACCAUUAAGUCCCUUUCCCCCCAACCUCCUUGAAUUCUGACCCAGAGCACUUCAGUCUGCCCCUCCUCUGACCCAGUGUUGUUUGUUGAGGAUGUGUACUGCUCUUUGAUGUAGAGCACCCCCCCCCCCCACUUUCUUCCCUGUUCUAUCUCUCCUGUACAGCCUAUAGCCCUUGAUGUUGACUGCCCAGUCAUGUGUUGGAUCCCACCAAGUUUCAGUGAGCCCCACUGUGUCUGUGUUAGCUAGCAGGAGGGUAAGUUCCUCCUGCUUGUUCCCCAUACUACAAGUAUUGGUAUAGAGGCAUUUAAGGCCUCCUGAAGGUGCAUGUGCUACCCCCCUAUUCCCAGGACUAUCUGGGCCCCUGUCUCUUACCUGGGUAUUUCUUGCGCUCCUUGCCUGUCUUGGCUGGCAUGUUCUUGUGGGUGACUCUUGUUUCAGUGUUCCGUGGCUCCCUCCAUCCUCAUCAUCCCCUUCCCCCAAUGAGCCUAGUUUAAAGCCCACCAGGGGUGGAGAAGCCUGCAACCUCUGCUUCAGGGGCAGCUGGGACUCCAGUAGGGAGCCAACAGGUCCAGGGGGUGUCCUCUGGCCAGCCCCCCGCCCCCGGAGGGGUUCCCAAGCCCCCUCUCCCAUCAUCAGGGACCAAGGGUAAGGGCAGUGGGAAGGGCUCCUCUUUAGCCUCCUAAACAGCUGGGAGUGGGAAGGGAAAGGGCCCUGCCCCUAAGCCUAGACCACCAUUGCCUGAGGGGAUCAAGUGCACUAUAGUGUAGUAAAAACCCCGGUGUUUGGGGGUUUUUUUUGGUGUUUAUUUUAAAAUGCAUUCCUUCCCCUUCCCCAACCAUUUCUGACCUUUUCUCUCCCUUGCUUUUCCCUAUAGAUAAGUAUAUGUAAGCUAAGAUGUAGGAUAAGCUUUAAACAUUUUUAUUCUGGUAGCAAGUUUUUGGUUUUGGAUAUCCACUGUUUUAUAUUGUAUUAUUAUUAGGUUUAUAUUGAUUCUUACUGAUGUAUAUCGUAUUAUUAUCAUUUUUAUAUUGAUUUUUAUUGUUUCAUAUGGAUAUUGUAUGGUUUAGGCCUGUGUUUGUAAGUGAACCAAAGUCAUGUCAAGUCUCCAUCUUGUGUCCUCUGCCUGGGCAUCCCCUGUGUCGCAACUGUAUGAGUCAUGUAUCCCUCCCAUGUAAAUUGGUUCCCGGAUGAAUGAGUGUGAUUGGGAAUGAUUGAUAUACAAUGGUAGCAGGCCUCUACUGAAUGGCCUGUAAUGGCUGGGCCACCGCCUUGCAUUGAUUCAUCCAGGAUCCACGGACCUCACCCAGGAACAGAGACAAGACGAGCAUUUGAAAGACAAAAGACCCGGCAAAACCAGCAACUCUCACCAUUACAGACACCUGAAACUGCACAUCCUUGCAUGAAGCACACAUGUUCAGUACACCAGGGGCUGACCCUUGCCUGGGCAUGCCUCCUGUCACUAGGGUCACACAAGAUAUGCCCCUAUAAAAAGGGGCAGUGAAGACAGACCCAGUGGGAUGCCCUCUCCAUCUGGACCAGCACCAUGCCACACUACCUAUCCACCCAGAGGCCCUGCCGGCGACUCCUCUCUGGCUUUCCACCUUCAGGCCUUGCAGCAACUGCUGUAUGGUGUCAGUGGCCACAUGGCAUGGAGCCACCUGGGGCAUGCUUUCCACUGCUACUUCCAGGGGCUUUAAUACAACUGGCAGCUCCUCAGUCUGUGGGGCUUCUCCCUGCAGGACCUGCGAGGACUGCCAGAUUUCUACCGGGACCUAAUCUGGGCCUGGAGGCUGGUCUCUGCCUCCAGGUGCUCCACAACAGUCACCCAGGGUGCUGACCUGCUCAUCAAGCCCCUCCUCUGGAACCCCCGCUGGAGGUGCUGAUGGCAGAGGCACCCCAGUAGCGACAGAGGUUGAUCCUGGCUGGUGUCACCCAUAUUGGAGACUUCCUGGACUAUGAUAGGCAGGAGUGAGUGGACCCUGCUACACUGGCUUGGCACAUGGGUCUGCCCAUGACAUGUGCAAUGUGCCAUCUGGUCCAGGACAUGAAAUCUGCCCUACCUCCUGACACCCUUGCCUUUGUUGACCAGGUCCUGUGCAGCAAUGGUCCCUGCCUGCUUCCACCGCCUGGUGUCCUCUAGCCCACUGGAGUUUGCCAUGGGAUUGGCGCCUUUCCCAACUUCAUGGUGCUCCCUCCUCCACCACCUGAGCUGGCUGGAAGACAGCAGACCAGUCUGCUUUUCCACUUUCCGUCCCUGCCACCUCUACAUGCUCAUGCACCACACUGUCCAUCAUGCUGCUCUCACAUUCCGCCCAGACACCAAGUGGGGAGACCUGCUUGGCAAGGGUGUGGCUGGGGCACCCCAUUGGCUGAGUCUAUAUAUACUCCACCCUCAUCCACAAGCCACUGGGGCCCUCAGCUGGUGGCUUCUCCAUGGAGCCAUCACCAUAGGCGUGUAUGUGAUAAGUUUCUUGGACGCCCCAGUCUUCAUGACCCUCAAGUGUGCCAGGCUGCAGCCCCUCCACCUCCAGAGCCUCCUGUUGAGGUUCUGGUUGAAUUUCAUCCCCCAGCUUUUUGUUUUUGGUCACCCCAUCCAUGGCCCCACCAAGUCCCGGGACCUCCUUGUCAACCUUCUCCUGGCCCUGGCCCUGGCUAAGUGGGCCCUGUAUUUGACCAGGAAGGAGGCUGUGGCUGGGAAGGUGCCUGGAGACUGUGGAGCCACUUUCCUCUCACUUGUCCAUGUAUGUUUCCAGGAAGAGCACCAGUGGGCAGCAUCCACUGGCUCCUUGGAUGCCUUUGAGGACCAGUGGGUGCAGCCCAGGGAGCUCUUCUUGGUGUCCCCCUCAGAUGCACUUGUUUUCACAUUUUGACCCUUUGACCCACACAACACUCCUAUCCUGUUUUUUCAUUAAUUGUCCCAAGUAUUUUGUUGUAACAUUUACCCACUAGCCCCCAUACAAUAGGGGCUACUCAUUAGCUGGGUGGACCUUAGGGCCCACACUAUUUUGAAUGUUACAAAUAGACAGAAGCUUCUGAGGUCCAGCCACUUGGUAUCUGGGGACACUAGCCCCUUGUGUCAACUAGACUGCUGAAGCAGCAUCCCAAAUUCACUUUUUAAUAUACCUCCAAAUCCACAUUCUUCCACAAUUAGAACAAAAGAGAGAGAGAAAGGGAGAUUGAUCAGACAGGCAAUGUUUUAUUGCUAUAUUUACAAUGUUAAAGAAAUUUGGAAGCCUACUAGUGUCUCUAGUAUCAUUAUAAAAUAAAUCCUAAAUAUCUAUGUUUUAA